rnacentral:rRNA from 1 species
UCCGUGCCAGCAGCCGCGGUAAUACGGGGGGUGCAAGCGUUAAUCGGAAUUACUGGGCGUAAAGGGUCUGUAGGUGGUUUGUUAAGUCAGAUGUGAAAGCCUAGGGCUCAACCUUAGAACUGCAUUUGAUACUGGUAAACUAGAGUACGGUAGAGGAAUAGGGAAUUUCUGGUGUAGCGGUGAAAUGCGUAGAGAUCAGAAGGAACACCAAUGGCGAAGGCAACAUUCUGGACCGAUACUGACACUGAGGGACGAAAGCGUGGGGAUCAAACAGGAUUAGAUACCCUGG